AUGGCCUGGGAUGUCACUGACAUCCACUCUGCCUUUCUCUCCACAGGUGUCCAUUCUGAGGUCCAGCUGCAGCAGUCUGGAGCUGAGUUGGUGAGGCCUGGGGCUUCAGUGAAGAUGUCCUGCAAGGCUUCUGGAUACACAUUCACUGACUACUACAUGCACUGGGUGAAGCAGAGCCAUGGAAAGAGCCUUGAGUGUAUUGGAUAUAUUAAACCUUACAAUGGUGAUACUUGCUGCAAGGAAAAGUUCAAGGGCAAGGCCACACUGACUACAGACAUAUCCGCCAGCACAACCUACAUGCAGCUCAGCAGUGUGACAUCUGAGGACGGUGGAAUCUUUUACUGUGCAGCUCACAGUGUUGCAACUACAUCCUAA